rnacentral:rRNA from 1 species
CUUGUAUUGAAGUAAUGAAUGUUUAUCUGCCGCAAGGCGAAAUUUUAAUACUACUUUUAACAACGGAUCUCUUGGCUCUCGCAUCGAUGAAGAACGCAGCGAAAUGCGAUAAGUAAUGUGAAUUGCAGAAUUCAGUGAAUCAUCGAAUCUUUGAACGCACCUUGCGCUCUCUGGUAUUCCGGGGAGCACACCUGUUCGAGUGUCAUUGGNAACUCUCAAACAAAAAAGAUAGCUUUGCAGCUGUCUCUGUUUGGAUUUGGNCUCUGCUGCAUUAAUGUGGCUAGUCUUAAAUCUAUUAGCUGCUCCUUAUUGAGGUUUGGUUCUACUCAGUGUGAUAAUUAUCUAACAUUGAGGACAGUCUUAGGACUGGCCAUAGCUCUCUCUGGAUUGCUUCUAAUUGUCCUGAGGGGGACAAUCAUUC